UCUCCGUUGGUGAACCAGCGGAGGGAUCAUUACCGAGUGCAAACUCAUAACCCUUUGUGAACCUAUAUCUGUUGCUUCGGCGGCUCGCUCUCGGGCGAGCCCGCCGGUAAUAUCAGUAUCUCUGGUUGAACCCGACGAUACUUCUGAGUGUUCUUAGUGAACAGUCAAAACUUUUAACAACGGAUCUCUUGGCUCUA
rnacentral:misc_RNA from 1 species